UACGGAGGGUGCGAGCGUUGUCCGGAAUCAUUGGGCGUAAAGGGCGCGUAGGUGGCCCGGUCAGUUUGUGGUGAAAGCGCGGGGCUCAACUCCGCGUCGGCCAUGAAUACUGCUGGGCUGGAGCACUGUAGAGGCAGGCGGAAUUCCGGGUGUAGCGGUGGAAUGCGUAGAGAUCCGGAAGAACACCGGUGGCGAAGGCGGCCUGCUGGGCAGUUGCUGACACUGAGGUGCGAAAGCGUGGGGAGCAAACAGG
rnacentral:rRNA from 1 species